rnacentral:rRNA from 1 species
UAGGGAAUCUUCGGCAAUGGACGAAAGUCUGACCGAGCAACGCCGCGUGAGUGAAGAAGGUUUUCGGAUCGUAAAACUCUGUUGGUAGAGAAGAACGUUGGUGAGAGUGGAAAGCUCAUCAAGUGACGGUAACUACCCAGAAAGGGACGGCUAACUACGUACCA